UACGUAGGGGGCUAGCGUUGUCCGGAAUCAUUGGGCGUAAAGCGCGUGUAGGCGGUCCGGUAAGUCCGCUGUGAAAGUCGGGGCUCAACCCUCGGAUGCCGGUGGAUACUGUCGGCUUGAGUACGGAAGAGGCGAGUGGAUUCCUGGUGGUAGCGGUGAAAUGCGCAGAUAUCAGGAGGAACACCAAUUGCGAAGGCAGCUCGCUGGGACGUUACUGACGCUGAGACGCGAAAGCGUGGGGAGCAACAGG
rnacentral:rRNA from 1 species